ACUCAAAGGAAUUGACGGGGACCCGCACAAGCGGUGGAUGAUGUGGUUUAAUUCGAUGCUACGCGAAGAACCUUACCAAGGCUUGACAUCCUAGGAACCUCCUGGAAACAGGAGGGUGCCCUCGGGAGCCUAGUGACAGGUGCUGCAUGGCCGUCGUCAGCUCGUGUCGUGAGAUGUUGGGUUAAGUCCCGCAACGAGCGCAACCCUUGUCGUGUGUUGAAUUUUUCACGCGAGACUGCCCGGGCCAACCGGGAGGAAGGUGGGGAUGACGUCAGGUCAGCAUGGCCCUUACGCCUUGGGCUACACACGUCAUACAAUGGCCGGUACAACGAGUUGCCAACCCGCGAGGGGGAGCUAAUCUCAGCAAAACCGGUCUCAGUUCGGAUUGGAGGCUGCAACUCGCCUCCAUGAAGCUGGAAUCGCUAGUAAACGUGGGUCAGCAUACCACGUUGAAUACGUUCCCGGGUCUUGUACACACCGCCCGU
rnacentral:rRNA from 1 species